GAAACUUUCAGUGUUAAGAAGCCAUGUGAUUUCCUGGAACAACUUCCUCAAAAAUGAAAAGUUUCUGGAAGUAUGGAAGGGGAAGCAAAGAACAACAUUUUGGUUUUUCUUACUGUAAACUCCCAACAGUUUCAGAGGAGAAGAAAUACAUUUCCACUCUGUGUAUGUGAGACACAGUAUAUCCCCAAACUAAUGCGUAUAUGUAAUAUACAGGGAUUGAGAUUCUCUUUUAAUUACACCAAAUCUGGUGCCUGCAAACAAUUUGCCACCUUUCUGUUUAGGAAAGAAGUUUCCUGAGGGUGCACAGAAAUGGAAGAGUACCCAGUUAACAUUCCAGCUGCAAGUUAUUGUCAUGUAAUAAAAAGAUUCUAAAUGUAGAAUACAGUAUAACUUCUUUGUUUAGAUUAUAAAAAGAAGUGGAAAUUAGUAAGACCAAUAUUCUAGUCAUAAACAUACAACCUAAAUAAAUGUUGUUUGGUUAGUUGUGAGGGAAAGAAUCUUUUAGGAGUUGGCUCUCCCCCUAUAACAGCAGCAUGAAAUAAAGAAUGAUGAUAAUCAUGUUGAUGAUGUUGAUAAAUAUAGCGCUAUCUAUGUGUAUUGCACUUUGCAAAGUAUGACAGAACAGAUCCUUGUCCCAGGAGAUUUACAAUCUAUAAAGCAAUGCAAGCAAGACAACAAAGGAAGGAUCAUACAUUAUGAGCAAGGCAUUUUCCACACUGAAACCAGGCCUGAAUCUCAAUUGAAAUGGAUCUAGAAAAUCUGUCUCCUCCAAAACAACCUGGAUCUGGUUGGUACCAAACCACUCAAGCAGCAAAUGUCCCCUUUCUGGGCAAGGUUCUUAUCUAAAAUUAUUAAGAACUUCGAGAUCUAGGGAAGGCUUCUUCAGCAGUGGUCUUGCAGCCACCUCCUUCAGGCAGCCUGGUGUAUGGGAAAUCCAUCCAGAAGACAAAAUGUAUAUUGAGGAGUUAGUGAUGAUGAUGAUUUAUUUGUUGAAUUUAUAUAUCGCCCUAUACCGGGAAGUCAUAUGAUUCUAACAUGGUUACCCUUCCUGCCUCUGUUUCUUCCCCCUCCCUCCCAGCCUUUAGUUUUUGAAGGUGUGAGAACAAUCUUUGGUGUCCUAAUCAGUUGGGAGGAGGUGAAGCCCCCCCCACCCCACAGCUGCCUUAAUCAGUCUGGGAGGAUAGUGCUGGAAACCUUCUUUGAUGUUGGAAAUUAUUAAAGUGAGGCAUUGGGAGGAGGUGGCUAUUUAUAACAUUGGUUGGUUUGGGCAGAGUCUUUCAGAAGCUUAUGCACAGACUGGCCUAUGCAAACUGAGACUACCUGGAGGAGUCACUUCAUCGAUUCUUGAGGGCUUCCAAGUGGCAGAGGGAAGGGCAUGCUUGGUAUGUAUAUAUUGCUUGCAGUUUAGAAAUAAAAUCUUCUCACUC